GCCCGGCGGUGGCUCGGACUCCUCGUCGCCGUCGAGUUGGCACUCCAAGUUCACGCCGAACAGCCUCACCCUCCUCGGGUUGUUCCCCGCCGCCGUGGGUGCGCCUCCUGGUAUCGGAGCCACAAAACCCGUGUAAUCGGAACUGAAGUGCCAUCAACAUUCACCAUAAAUGCAAUAAUAAACCUAAUCAGAAAACAAACUACUAUAUGGAGCCAGGUUGGGACGGCCCAUCAUCGUGCCCAGGAUAAGGACGCCGCACGGCAUAGCACCCCCCGCCACCGCCACCGCCACCGGUCUCCGCCGCCACCGUGGGCACACCGGGCGACGGCUCCCCUCGCCGCCUCCA